UAAUAGAUAAAAUUUUAUAUUUUUCAUAAUUUAUUAUAAAUUUAUUUUACAUAUAAAUUUUAGUAUAUAAUUUUAAUUAUUUUAAUAAUGAUUAAUUAAUAAAUUUAGUAAUUAAAAUUAAAAAUUUAAGAAAUUAAGAUUUAGUAAUAUAAAAAUUAAUAACUAAUUUUGUGCCAGCAGUUGCGGUUAAACAAAAAUUAAAUUAAAUUAUUUCAGUAUAUAAUAAAUAUAAAUAUUUUAAAUUAAACAUUAAAUUAUUAAGUGAAAUUUUAAUUUAAUUAAAUUUUAUAAUAAAUUUAUGAUUUAGUAAAUUUUAAUAUAAACUAGGAUUAGAUACCCUAUUAUUAAAAAUUUAAAUUUAAAUACUAAAAUAGUAAAUAAUUAAUAUUGAAACUUAAAUAAUAUGGCGGUAUUUUAGUUCAUUUAGAGGAAUCUGUCUAGUAAUUGAUAAUCCACGAGUAAAUUUACUUAAUUUAAAAUUUUGUAUAUCAUUGUAAAAAAAAUAUUUUUAAAUAAAAAUAAUAUUUAAAAAUUUAAAUUAAAAAUUAAUUCAGAUCAAGAUGCAGAUUAUAAUUAAGAUUAAGAUGGAUUACAAUAAAUAUAUUUAAAUGAAUAAGAAUUUGUAAUUAUAAUUGAAGGUGGAUUUAAAUGUAAUUUUAAUUAGUUUAUUAAAAUGAUUUAUAAUUGAAAUAUGUACAUAUUGCCCGUCACUUUCAUUUUAAAAUUGGAAUAAGUCGUAACAAAGUAGAGGUACUGGAAAGUGUUUCUAGAAUGU
rnacentral:ncRNA from 1 species